AGUCCUCACAAAAUUCAAGGAAUCGGAGCAGGUUUUAUACCCAGAAAUUUGGAUCAAGCUAUAGUUGAUGAAAUCAUAGCGAUAUCCAGUGACGAAGCUGUAGAAACUGCAAAGCAACUGGCACUCCAAGAGGGCUUGUUGGUUAGUAUUUCUUGUUAAUUUUUAAACCAUUACUAUAAAUUGAGAGGAAACGUUAGAUUAGAGAUGCUUUCUUCUUCUGUUUUCAAUAUCUCUGUGUCUUAAAAAAGGGG